UACGUAGGGGGCAAGCGUUGUCCGGAAUCAUUGGGCGUAAAGAGCGUGUAGGCGGCCCGAUAAGUCCGUCGUGAAAGUCCAGGGCUCAACCCUGGGAUGCCGGUGGAAACUGUCGGGCUAGAGUCCGGAAGAGGCGAGUGGAAUUCCUGGUGUAGCGGUGAAAUGCGCAGAUAUCAGGAAGAACACCGAUGGCGAAGGCAGCUCUCUGGGACGUGACUGACGCUGAGACGCGAAAGCGUGGGGAGCAAACAGG
rnacentral:rRNA from 1 species